GGGGCCGUAGCGAAGUUGGGAUCGCGUUUGACCGGCAGUCAAAAGAUCGAGGGUUCGAAUCCCUCCGGCUCCACCA
rnacentral:tRNA from 1 species